rnacentral:rRNA from 1 species
AUUGAACGCUGGCGGCAGGCCUAACACAUGCAAGUCGAACGGUAACAGGAAGCAGCUUGCUGCUUCGCUGACGAGUGGCGGACGGGUGAGUAAUGUCUGGGAAACUGCCUGAUGGAGGGGGAUAACUACUGGAAACGGUAGCUAAUACCGCAUAACGUCGCAAGACCAAAGAGGGGGACCUUCGGGCCUCUUGCCAUCGGAUGUGCCCAGAUGGGAUUAGCUUGUUGGUGGGGUAACGGCUCACCAAGGCGACGAUCCCUAGCUGGUCUGAGAGGAUGACCAGCCACACUGGAACUGAGACACGGUCCAGACUCCUACGGGAGGCAGCAGUGGGGAAUAUUGCACAAUGGGCGCAAGCCUGAUGCAGCCAUGCCGCGUGUAUGAAGAAGGCCUUCGGGUUGUAAAGUACUUUCAGCGGGGAGGAAGGGAGUAAAGUUAAUACCUUUGCUCAUUGACGUUACCCGCAGAAGAAGCACCGGCUAACUCCGUGCC